GAUGAACGCUGGCGGCGUGCUUAACACAUGCAAGUCGAACGGUGAAGCCAAGCUUGCUUGGUGGAUCAGUGGCGAACGGGUGAGUAACACGUGAGCAACCUGCCCUGGACUCUGGGAUAAGCGCUGGAAACGGCGUCUAAUACUGGAUAUGAGCCUCUUCCGCAUGGUGGGGGUUGGAAAGAUUUUUUGGUCUGGGAUGGGCUCGCGGCCUAUCAGCUUGUUGGUGGGGUAAUGGCUCACCAAGGCGUCGACGGGUAGCCGGCCUGAGAGGGUGACCGGCCACACUGGGACUGAGACACGGCCCAGACUCCUACGGGAGGCAGCAGUGGGGAAUAUUGCACAAUGGGCGAAAGCCUGAUGCAGCAACGCCGCGUGAGGGAUGACGGCCUUCGGGUUGUAAACCUCUUUUAGCAGGGAAGAAGCGAAAGUGACGGUACCUGCAGAAAAAGCGCCGGCUAACUACGUG
rnacentral:rRNA from 1 species